rnacentral:rRNA from 1 species
GGCAGAGCGGGCAAUUACACCAACACCGAUGACAUCUUACUAUGCAAUACUUGGUUGCAAGUGUCGAGGGAUCCAUCCGUUGGAGGUGAUCAAAGUAGAGAUGCUUAUUGGGGGCAGAUGAAAGAACACUUUGAUGUUCGCAAUGUGAGUGGAAUUGACCGCUCCGAGAGAUCACUUCGGUCCCGGUGGUCGACAAUCAACUCGGAUUGUCAAAGGUGGGCGACCUGUCAAAAGGCGGUUGACAAGUUGAACCCAAGUGGCACAAAUGAGGACGGUAGAAACUUGUUCAAAGAAGAGGAGAGGAAAACCAAGAAGGGGAAGAUCAAGAAAGGAAGGAUGUUUACCUUGCCUCAUUGCUAUGAAGUGUUGAAGGAUGAUGAGAAAUGGAAGAAGCGUGAAGAUUUGGAUGAUUUGCAUUUGAGCAACAAACGAAAGCGAACAAUUGAGUUGAAUGAUGAUGAUGAUGAGGAGGAUGAUGCAUCAAGUGAUGACGGCAAGAGAAGCCCCACACCCAACUCGGUUUCAUACUCGAAGCCAAAACGACCGGAUGGGUGCAAGAAAGACAAAACAGAAAAGAAGAAGAGGAAAGGAGAUGAUGAGCUAAAAAAUGCUAUGGAAGCUAUUGUGAAGGCAAGAAAAGAAGCCAACGAGAUGAGGAAAAUGGCAAGGAACCAAGAUGCCGCGGCCGAGGAGAGGAGGUUGGCGAGGAGGGUGGCGGCCGAGGAGAGGAAGGUGGCUUUGGAGGAGAGGAAUGUGAGCAAUGAGGAGCGAAUUAGAUUGUUGGAAUGGGAGAAGCACUUGUUCUUCUUGGACACAUCUAACCUCAAUGAGGCGCAAAAGGAGUAUGUCAAUCUUGCCCGUGAAGAAGUCUUGAUCCAAAAAAGAGCC